rnacentral:sRNA from 1 species
UUCCCUGGAGGGGCUUUGCGCGUGGCGAGUCUGUGUCCUCCCUGUCCCUCCGAGCAGAGAGCCUCCCCGUAUCUGGACCGGGGAGGAGCAGACGCUGGACAGGUUUCUGGGAGAAUGCUGGCAAUUCCCAGGAAGAUACGUGGAGAACGGAAAGGUUGCUACACCCAAAUAGUGGAGCAAAGCUAUGAUUAUGGAGGAUUGGACCUGCAAACUCCAGAACAGAGGUAAGAAAUAGAAAUAAAGGGUCCUGCCAUUAGCCGAGAAUCUACAGUGUGCACACACAACCUCAUUUUAUUUUUUCUUUACAGCAACCUUGUAAAAUGUGUGUGGGCAGCACAGAGACCUUGGGCAAGUUAACAGUUUCCUCAUCUAAAUAGUGAUUUAUGGAAAGCACCUGGUGCGUGUUCUGCCCUCUGAGGACCCUGCCCUUUCCCAAAAGGGAUAUCUUGAGAAGGAAAGUAUGGCUGCUCUUUGCUGGACAGCAGAGUCCCAGAACCCCAUGCAGGUGUUUUAGGGCUUUACGUCAUUCAAGGAUGUGGCUGUGAACUUCACUGGGAAGAAUGGAGAGAACUGGACCCUGCUCA